UGGGGAAUAUUGGACAAUGGGCGAAAGCCUGAUCCAGCAAUGCCGCGUGAGUGAUGGAGGCCUUAGGGUUGUAAAGCUCUUUUACCCGGGAUGAUAAUGACAGUACCGGGAGAAUAAGCCCCGGCUAAAUCCGUGCCAGCAGCCGCGGUAAUACGGAGGGGGGCAAGCGUUGUUCGGAAUUACUGGGCGUAAAGGGCUCGUAGGCGGCCAACUAAGUCGGAUGUGAAAUCCCCAGGCUCAACCGGGGAACUGCAUCCGAUACUGGAUGGCUUGAAUUCGGGAGAGGGAUGCAGAAUUCCAGGUGUAGCGGUGAAAUGCGUAGAUAUCUGGAGGAAUACCGGUGGCGAAGGCGGCAUCCUGGACCGACAUUGACGCUGAGGAGCGAAAGCUAGGGGAGCAAA
rnacentral:rRNA from 1 species